rnacentral:misc_RNA from 1 species
UGUUUGGUAGGCCCGGGG